CUGACCGGCCGGAGUUGGAUCGAGAUCCCAACUAGCACGGCUUAGCUCCAACUCCCUCUUCCACCUCUCCGCUCCCCAACACUCAAAUCUGGCUCUUCUGCACACAUCAGUAGCUAUGGAAAGAAAGUUUGUAGUGGAGUGGGUUCCUUUGUAUGAUCUUGGAAGAUGAUGACCUCUGAAGCCCAUUAGAAAGCAUGGCAAUGGCUUAAGGUUAGCGCAUUUCAAGAAGCCAACAGAUCGCUGCCUACUUCCUUAGGCUGACAAUCAC